ACGCUGGCGGCAGGCUUAACACAUGCAAGUCGAACGGUAACAGGGAUUAGCUUGCUAAUUUGCUGACGAGUGGCGGACGGGUGAGUAAUGCUUGGGAAUCUGGCUUAUGGAGGGGGAUAACUACGGGAAACUGUAGCUAAUACCGCGUAAUAUCGGAAGAUUAAAGGGUGGGACUUUCGAGCCACCUGCCAUAAGAUGAGCCCAAGUGGGAUUAGGUAGUUGGUUAGGUAAAGGCUGACCAAGCCGACGAUCUCUAGCUGGUCUGAGAGGAUGACCAGCCACACUGGAACUGAGACACGGUCCAGACUCCUACGGGAGGCAGCAGUGGGGAAUAUUGCACAAUGGGGGGAACCCUGAUGCAGCCAUGCCGCGUGAAUGAAGAAGGCCUUCGGGUUGUAAAGUUCUUUCGGUGACGAGGAAGGUUGAUAGGUUAAUAGCCUAUCAAAUUGACGUUAAUCACAGAAGAAGCACCGGCUAACUCCGUGCCAGCAGCCGCGGUAAUACGGGGGGUGCGAGCGUUAAUCGGAAUAACUGGGCGUAAAGGGCACGCAGGCGGUGACUUAAGUGAGAUGUGAAAGCCCCGAGCUUAACUUGGGAAUUGCAUUUCAUACUGGGUCGCUAGAGUACUUUAGGGAGGGGUAGAAUUCCACGUGUAGCGGUGAAAUGCGUAGAGAUGUGGAGGAAUACCGAAGGCGAAGGCAGCCCCUUGGGAAUGUACUGACGCUCAUGUGGGAAAGCGUGGGGAGCAAACAGGAUUAGAUACCCUGGUAGUCCACGCUGUAAACGAUGUCGAUUUGGGGAUUGGGCUUUGAGCUUGGUGCCCGUAGCUAACGUGAUAAAUCGACCGCCUGGGGAGUACGGCCGCAAGGUUAAAACUCAAAUGAAUUGACGGGGGCCCGCACAAGCGGUGGAGC
rnacentral:rRNA from 1 species